rnacentral:rRNA from 1 species
AUGGACGCGGUGGAGUCCUCAUCGCCCUACUCGCCGCCCUCGCUACGCCACAAGCUGCGGACCACCGUCUGCAGCUGCUUCGGCUCGCCUGGCAGCGGCGCGGAGAGGCCGUACACCGGGGGCGGCAGGAGCAGGUGGAGGCGACGCUUCGUCCCCACGGGGGAGUUCAGGUACGACCCGCUCAGCUACGCGCUCAACUUCGACGACGGCAGCAGCGACGACGGCGACGCCAACGCGGAGGACGCCGCCUUCCGGCACCGGAACUUCAGCUCGCGUCUGCCGCCCUCGCCGGUGCCGGCCUCCCGAGCCGUCGCCAUCGCCUGA